UACGUAGGGAGCAAGCGUUGUCCGGAAUCAUUGGGCGUAAAGCGCGCGUAGGUGGCCUCAUAAGUCCGCUGUGAAAGUCCAAGGCUCAACCUUGGAAAGCCGGUGGAUACUGUGAGGCUAGAGUACGGAAGAGGCGAGUGGAAUUCCUGGUGUAGCGGUGAAAUGCGCAGAUAUCAGGAAGAACACCCGUGGCGAAGGCGGCUCUCUGGGACGGUACUGACGCUGAGACGCGAAAGCGUGGGGAGCGAACAGG
rnacentral:rRNA from 1 species